rnacentral:rRNA from 1 species
AGCAGUCGCCGUGGUAAUACGGAGGGUGCAAGCGUUAAUCGGAAUUACUGGGCGUAAAGCGCACGCAGGCGGUCUGACAAGUCAGAUGUGAAAUCCCCGGGCUUAACCUGGGAACUGCAUUUGAAACUGUCAGGCUGGAGUCUUGUAGAGGGGGGUAGAAUUCCAGGUGUAGCGGUGAAAUGCGUAGAGAUCUGGAGGAAUACCGGUGGCGAAGGCGGCCCCCUGGACAAAGACUGACGCUCAGGUGCGAAAGCGUGGGGAGCAAACAGGAUUAGAUACCCGUGUAGUCCCUGUCUCUUAUAC